CCCGCACAAGCAGCGGAGCGUGUGGUUUAAUUCGAUGUUACACGAAGAACCUUACCAGGGUUUGACAUGCAAGUGGUAGGAAACCGAAAGGUGACCGACCCUUCGGGGAGCUUGCACAGGUGCUGCAUGGCUGUCGUCAGCUCGUGUCGUGAGAUGUUCGGUUAAGUCCGCUAACGAGCGCAACCCUCGCUGUGUGUUAUAUGUGUCACACGGGACUGCCGGUCUUAAGCCGGAGGAAGGUGGGGAUGAUGUCAAGUCAGCAUGGCCUUUAUAUCCUGGGCUACACACACGCUACAAUGGCCAACACAAUAGGUUGCUAAGCCGCGAGGUGGCGCCAAUCCAUAAAGUUGGUCUCAGUUCAGAUUGUAGGCUGCAACCCGCCUGCAUGAAGAUGGAGUUGCUAGUAACCGCAGGUCAGCUAUACUGCGGUGAAUACGUUCCCGGGGCUU
rnacentral:rRNA from 1 species